rnacentral:rRNA from 1 species
CCUACGGGGGGCAGCAGUGAGGAAUAUUGGUCAAUGGGCGCGAGCCUGAACCAGCCAAGUAGCGUGAAGGAUGACUGCCCUACGGGUUGUAAACUUCUUUUAUACAGGAAUAAACUGAGGCACGUGUGCCUUUUUGUAUGUACUUUAUGAAUAAGGAUCGGCUAACUCCGUGCCAGCAGCCGCGGUAAUACGGAGGAUCCGAGCGUUAUCCGGAUUUAUUGGGUUUAAAGGGUGCGUAGAUGGGUUGUUAAGUCAGAUGUGAAAGUUUGCGGCUCAACCGUAAAAUUGCAAUUGAUACUGGCGGCCUAGAGAACAGUUGCGGUAGGCGGAAUUCGUGGUGUAGCGGUGAAAUGCUUAGAGAUCACGAAGAACUCCGAUUGCGAAGGCAGCCUACUAAACUGCCACUGACAUUGAGGCACGAAAGUGUGGGUAUCAAACAGGAUUAGAUACCCCGGUAGUC